UGCGGUCACCUGUUGGAUGGCAGGCGGUGUUUCUAUGUGCGCCUCCUGGGGUGGAGGCGGGGCCUCUGCCGAAUGCAAUGAGAGGGCGGCUCUCUGCGUUUGAUUCUGCAAGAAGGUCAUCAUGGCUGCUAACUGGGUCUCUAGGGCGCUGAACUGGCUUUGCGUCAAAUACUGCGGCGAUGGAGGCGGAUCAGGGCCUUUGGCGACCGAUUCUGAUUCUGCCUCCAUCAUUGCUGCUCUUAGGCGUGUGUCACUUCGUGUUCGUCUUCUCGACAUGACCUUUGUGUUUAGUGGAAGAAAUUCCCACAGACGGCGCCAAUGAAAUGGUUGUGGAAAAAUACCCUUCUAUCUGCCAGGUGGCGUUCGGCAUUCCGACUACUACGUCAAGUGUGUGUGACCUGAAAAACGAAGGCGGGGC
rnacentral:lncRNA from 1 species